CAGUGCUGAAUCAAAUAGCUGGGAAGAAGCUGAGCAGUGAACAAACAUUUAGCUUUCUCACUCUACUCUCCCACCUCAAGACAGAAAAAGAUAAGUGGCCAGUCUCUGAAGUACAACACUUGAUGGGCCAGAUCCUCGGCCCCCACCACCCUUGGCUGCUUUGCGUUGCUGUGGUGGUACAAAGCCCCCAGAUUGAAGGAGAGGGAUUGCUUUGGUUGGAACAAGACAGAAGGGUUCCUGUUGUCUACUCCUCCAAAACAUAGCUCUCUCCUUUCCACCAAGACCGAAAAUACAACCCACAAAAAAUGCAAACUCAGAAGCAGAGAAUAAAGAUUCUCCAGCUACCUGAUGCUUCCCAGGAAUUCAGAGUAGUUCCAAGAGGAUCUCCAGAAGGCAGCAGUCUGGAGGGAUCUCUAGAGACAGCUUAACUUUCACAAUGAACAGUUUAACAGAAGUGACAGUUCAGGUAAAACAGUAGAGAAAAAAAUACCCCAGAAAGGGAAGUGUCUACAUUUUGUGCCUUGAGAAAGAGAGAGGAGGCUGGGCUGAUGGAUGUCAGCUGAAGUGUAUGAGGACACAUGGGACACAUCUUGGGCCUGAUUCCCCCCUGCCUCCCCUCUCACCAUUGACUUCAACUGCCAUAACCAUGGACAGCAGCCAGACAGGCACAGCAGACCAUAACUAAGAAGGAUUUACACAACACACUGUAAUUGAAGGCAUUAUAGCAUGUGGGGUCAAAACACACUUGUAAAAAUGUGCCCUAUGGAGUUUUCCAAACCCAUUAGGAUAGAUUGGGUAAAUAAAGU